GGAGUGGGACGGAUCGUCGCUUGGGGGAGACCCCGAGAGGAAAGUCCGGGCUCCACAGGGCAGGACGCCGGGUAACACCCGGGAGGGGCGACCCUCUGACAGCGCCACAGAAAGCAAACCGCCCAGGUAUUGGGUAAGGGUGAAACGGUGGUGUAAGAGACCACCAGAUCCGGCAGCAAUGCCGGAUGCUCGGCAUACCACGUCCGGAGCAAGACCAAAUAGGGGAGGCGGCUUGCCCGGCCACAUGUCUCCCGGGUCGGUUGCUAGAGGGCACAGGCGACUGUGUCUCCAGAGGAAUGACGGUCCCGCGAUCCCUGACGGAUCGUACGACAAAACCCGGCUUACAGUUCCGCUCCGCCC
rnacentral:RNase_P_RNA from 2 species